AUUGAACGCUGGCGGCAGGCCUAACACAUGCAAGUCGAGCGAGCGGCGGACGGGUGAGUAAUGUAUGGGGACUGCCCGAUAGAGGGGGAUAACUACUGGAAACGGUAGCUAAUACCGCAUACUAUCGGAUAACCCAUAUGGGAUUAGCUAGUAGGUGAGGUAAGGGCUCACCUAGGCGACGAUCCCUAGCUGGUCUGAGAGGAUGAUCAGCCACGCUGAGACUGAGACACGGCCCAGACUCCUACGGAGGCGGCAGUGGGGAAUAUUGGACAAUGGGCGAAAGCCUGAUGCUGCGAGGCCGCGUGGGGGAUGAGGGCUUUCGGGUUGUAAACCUCUUUCGCUAUCGAACGGGUAGGUGGAGAAGAAGCACCGGCUAACUACGUGCCAGCAGCCGCGGUAAUAC
rnacentral:rRNA from 1 species